GCCUAGUUAGCUUAGUUGGUAGUGCGUCUGCCUUGUAAGCGCUAGGUCGUGGGUUCGAUUCCCGCCCGGGGC
rnacentral:tRNA from 1 species